rnacentral:rRNA from 1 species
AGUGGCGGACGGGUGAGUAAUGCUUGGGAAUCUGGCUUAUGGAGGGGGAUAACGACGGGAAACUGUCGCUAAUACCGCGUACCCUAGGAUGAGCCCAAGUGGGAUUAGGUAGUUGGUGGUGUAAUGGCAUUCCAAGCCGACGAUCUCUAGCUGGUCGGAUAGGAUGAACAGUCACACCUGGAUGGAGACACGGCCAGUACUCCUAAGGUAGGCAGGAGUGUGGAAUAUUGCGGAAGGGUGGCAGUCUGACGCAGCCAGGCCGCGUGAAUGAAGAAGGCCUUCGGGUUGUAAAGUUGUUUCGGUGACGUGGCGUUAAUCACAGAAGAAGAACCGGCUAACUCCGUGCCAGCAGCCGCGGUAAUAC